AGGCAAAGCUAGGCUAGGUCUUGGAGGCUGGUGUGAGGCGGUGCGGGUAAGGCAGGAGCAGGCUGAUGGAAGAAGACACUGGCGGAAGAAAAGCCGAAAUGGAUUCUCCGUGCCUUGGAUGGAGGAAGAGGGGGACGUGCGAGCUCCUUCAACUCAUUCCGUCCGGUGAGGAGUGAUCCAGCUUGGGCUGACAAGAGGCUCCGGGGGCCCUCACGUUCAGUGCUUUUUUACCUGCCAAUCAAACUGCUACAAGACAACACCCUGUUCUGGCAUGGACGC
rnacentral:lncRNA from 1 species